rnacentral:rRNA from 1 species
CAGCGGCGGACGGGUGAGUAACACGUGGGUAACCUGCCUGUAAGACUGGGAUAACUCCGGGAAACCGGGGCUAAUACCGGAUGCUUGAUUGAACCGCAUGGUUCAAUCAUAAAAGGUGGCUUUUAGCUACCACUUACAGAUGGACCCGCGGCGCAUUAGCUAGUUGGUGAGGUAACGGCUCACCAAGGCGACGAUGCGUAGCCGACCUGAGAGGGUGAUCGGCCACACUGGGACUGAGACACGGCCCAGACUCCUACGGGAGGCAGCAGUAGGGAAUCUUCCGCAAUGGACGAAAGUCUGACGGAGCAACGCCGCGUGAGUGAUGAAGGUUUUCGGAUCGUAAAACUCUGUUGUUAGGGAAGAACAAGUACCGUUCGAAUAGGGCGGCACCUUGACGGUACCUAACCAGAAAGCCACGGCUAACUACGUGCCAGCAGCCGCGGUAAUACGUAGGUGGCAAGCGUUGUCCGGAAUUAUUGGGCGUAAAGCGCGCGCAGGCGGUUUCUUAAGUCUGAUGUGAAAGCCCCCGGCUCAACCGGGGAGGGUCAUUGGAAACUGGGGAACUUGAGUGCAGAAGAGGAGAGUGGAUUCCACGUGUAGCGGUGAAAUGCGUAGAGAUGUGGAGGAACACCAGUGGCGAAGGCGACUCUC